rnacentral:rRNA from 1 species
GACGAACGCUGGCGGCGUGCCUAAUACAUGCAAGUCGAGCGGAACUGGGGGAGCUUGCUCCUUCCAGUUUUGCGGCGGACGGGUGAGUAACACGUGGGCAACCUGCCCUGCAGAUCGGGAUAACUCCGGGAAACCGGUGCUAAUACCGAAUAGUUUGGCGCCUCUCCUGAGGCGCUACGGAAAGACGGUUUCGGCUGUCACUGCAGGAUGGGCCCGCGGCGCAUUAGCUAGUUGGUGGGGUAACGGCCCACCAAGGCGACGAUGCGUAGCCGACCUGAGAGGGCGACCGGCCACACUGGGACUGAGACACGGCCCAGACUCCUACGGGAGGCAGCAGUAGGGAAUCUUCCGCAAUGGACGCAAGUCUGACGGAGCAACGCCGCGUGAGUGACGAAGGUUUUCGGAUCGUAAAACUCUGUUGUGAGGGAAGAACACGUACCAACUAACUAUUGGUACCUUGACGGUACCUCGCCAGAAAGCCACGGCUAACUACGUGCCAGCCGCCGCGGUAA